CCUACGGGGGGCAGCAGUGGGGAAUAUUGGACAAUGGGGGGAACCCUGAUCCAGCCAUGCCGCGUGUGUGAAGAAGGCCCUCGGGAUGUAAAGCACUUUCAGUGAGGAAGAACGCCUGGUGGUUAAUACCCAUCAGGAAAGACAUCACUCACAGAAGAAGCACCGGCUAACUCCGUGCCAGCAGCCGCGGUAAUACGGAGGGGGCGAGCGUUAAUCGGAAUUACUGGGCGUAAAGCGCGCGUAGGUGGCUUGAUAAGCCGGUUGUGAAAGCCCCGGGCUCAACCUGGGAACGGCAUCCGGAACUGUCAAGCUAGAGUGCAGGAGAGGAAGGUAGAAUUCCCGGUGUAGCGGUGAAAUGCGUAGAGAUCGGGAGGAAUACCAGUGGCGAAGGCGGCCUUCUGGACUGACACUGACACUGAGGUGCGAAAGCGUGGGUAGCAAACAGGAUUAGAUACCCUUGUAGUC
rnacentral:rRNA from 1 species